UACGGAGGGGGCGAGCGUUAUUCGGAAUUAUUGGGCGUAAAGGGCGCGUAGGCGGCCCGGUAAGUCAAAGGUGAAAUCCCUCGGCUCAACUGAGGAACUGCCUUUGAAACUGUCGGGCUUGAGGCCGGGAGGGGGUAGCGGAAUUCCCAGUGUAGCGGUGAAAUGCGUAGAUAUUGGGAGGAACACCGGUGGCGAAGGCGGCUACCUGGACCGGUUCUGACGCUGAUGCGCGAAAGCGUGGUAGCAAACAGG
rnacentral:rRNA from 1 species